GCAGAACACAUAUUGCGACCGACUGCUCCGCGGCAAACUCGGAGCAUUCUGGCUUAAUUCAAUCUAAGCGCCAAGAGCCAGUACAACACAAUCGCAAAGCAGCAGACACGACGAACACGAAACGAUUGAGAUACGAGUUGAAUGUGACGAGAAACUACAUUCAUACGGCUAUAAAUGUAAAGGAAUUAGUUACGGUACUUCUUUUUUCCUUUGGGCCGCGCCGGCUGACUCAUCGGCUCUCAGGCGCUACUCUCAACCCUCAACCUACGACACAAUCGAUAUCAACGAACGGACCUAUACAACACUAUAACAUAACAAACUACAAAAAUGAACAACAUUAAACAGCUGGAGCUUCGAAAAAAUGAACAAUAUAAACAGCUGGAACUACAAUUAAUGAAAACCACAAAGGUCCCGGUUCCAGACCGUGGAUGUGGCCUACGUUGGGCGUCCGUUCUUAGCCGGCUGCGUGGGCCAAUCUAGGAAAUGCGCACGCAGAUUAUUUGUAAUUGUGUUGUCCGUUUGCUUAUAGUAGUUUGCGUGGUGAUGUUGCAUUUGGAAUUAUCGGCAGCGUCGAUUUUUGUGGGAUUGGGUUAUCAGAAGUUGAAUCGAGCGCAUAGGGGCGCCCGUCUUGCGAUUAACUGCGAAACGCGGAAGAAUGUCUACGAGUGUCCCUUUGUAAUGCCAUUGGCCUUCAACUGGGUCGUUGAUAAGGGUACUUUGAGCAAACGCACCUUGUUGAAAAAUUUGAAGAAAAAAAAUAUAAGAAUGGAAAAACCGCCUACACUCACCGCUUUGGGUGCAAAAAUUUAAAUAAAUUACAAAUAAUCAUCGGAUCAUUCAGAACAAAUUAAAAAAUAAUCCUCGAUUAAUUUAAUUGUGCCUAUCUGAUAGCCGUAAAAUGAUAGAUACUUCAUAUAUAAAUACUAUUCAGGAAGCUACAUGUCAAGUUUGGCGACUCUAGCUCUUAUAACUUACGAGAUUAGCUCAAAAAAAAGGAUUUCGAUAUCGAUUUUUAUCGAUUGCUUGGAAACGGGGAAAGCUAUUGAUUAUCGAAAACAAACUUGUACUGCGCGGGCACUAGGAGGACCUACGUUCACAAUAUCAUCCAUACGGACAGACGGACAUGGCUAGAUCGACUUGGCUAUUGAUGCUGAUCAAGAAUAUAUAUACUUUAUGAUUCGUUCUGCCUGUUACAUGCAUUUACAGAAAUAAAUUAUACCCUUUUUACCCAAUUUAAAAGGGUUCAGGGUAUAAAAAGGUCAAACCGUUCGGAUAGGCAAACUGAUCAGACGCGUCUGUGAGUUAAUCAUUUAGCUCAACAUGAUCUUCGUCCGGAAGAUCGAAGAUUAAAAUGAAAUGGAUUAUAACAGUGACUCAGUUUCAAUGCUGAUGAAAGUCCGGGUUUAGGCAUUCGCUGAUCCUAAAUAGCUGCUGCGAUUUAAUACGUCGGUCGACGGAAUAAUCCGGAACGAGGAAAUGGACCGGUUUAUUCAAAGUUAUAUCCUUUUCCUAUGAGUGCGGCCGAAUUUGUCGACAAAGAGGUAAAAGCUUUGCUAAAAAACGGUAUCAUUCGCCUAUCUAGGUCGCCGUACAACAAUGGGAUCUGGGUAGUGAGUAAGAAAGCCAUUGAUGACUCAGGCGCAGGUGAGAAGUGCCUGAUCAUAGAUUUCAGGAAACUCAAUCAAUCAAAACGCGGGAAGAGAACAUACCGGCAAGACUUUUAACGUCUACGUUGAUAAUAUCGGAACAUGUUAUGGAUAUUGCCGAGGUUUUAAAAACGCAUGCAGGAUUUCACUUUAGUGAAAUAUUCACGGUGAGUACACCCAACGUAUACACGUAUUUUGCCAUGUUGUCCGUCAAGCCCCGUUUUAUUAUUUUAGCCAGUUCCUUGCCAAAAAUGCCAGAUUCAUCUUUAGGUAAAAC